UACGAAGGGGGCUAGCGUUGCUCGGAAUCACUGGGCGUAAAGCGCACGUAGGCGGAUUGCUAAGUCAGGGGUGAAAUCCUGGAGCUCAACUCCAGAACUGCCUUUGAUACUGGCGAUCUUGAGUCCGGGAGAGGUGAGUGGAACUGCGAGUGUAGAGGUGAAAUUCGUAGAUAUUCGCAAGAACACCAGUGGCGAAGGCGGCUGACUGGUCCGGUUCUGACGCUGAGGCGGCGAAAGCGUGGGGAGCAAACAGG
rnacentral:rRNA from 1 species